rnacentral:rRNA from 1 species
GAUGAACGCUAGCGGCAGGCCUAACACAUGCAAGUCGAGGGGUAGCAGGAUUAAGCUUGCUUAAUUGCUGACGACCGGCGCACGGGUGCGUAACGCGUAUGCAACCUACCUUAUACUGGGGUAUAGCCCGGAGAAAUUCGGAUUAAUCCCCCAUAGUACUAAUGAAUCGCAUGGUUUAUUAGUUAAAGCAUUGCGGUAUAAGAUGGGCAUGCGUGCUAUUAGCUAGAUGGUGAGGUAACGGCUCACCAUGGCUACGAUAGGUAGGGGGCCUGAGAGGGUGGUCCCCCACACGGGCACUGAGACACGGACCAGACUCCUACGGGAGGCAGCAGUGAGGAAUAUUGGUCAAUGGGCGCAAGCCUGAACCAGCCAUGCCGCGUGCAGGAAGAAUGCCCUAUGGGUUGUAAACUGCUUUUAUUUGGGAAUAAACCUCUUUACGUGUAGAGAGCUGAAGGUACCAAAUGAAUAAGCACCGGCUAACUCCGUGCCAGCAGCCGCCGUAA